rnacentral:rRNA from 1 species
AUUGAACGCUGGCGGCAGGCCUAACACAUGCAAGUCGAGCGGAUGAAGGGAGCUUGCUCCUGGAUUCAGCGGCGGACGGGUGAGUAAUGCCUAGGAAUCUGCCCGGUAGUGGGGGAUAACGUCCGGAAACGGGCGCUAAUACCGCAUACGUCCUGAGGGAGAAAGUGGGGGAUCUUCGGACCUCACGCUAUCAGAUGAGCCUAGGUCGGAUUAGCUAGUUGGUGGGGUAAAGGCCUACCAAGGCGACGAUCCGUAACUGGUCUGAGAGGAUGAUCAGUCACACUGGAACUGAGACACGGUCCAGACUCCUACGGGAGGCAGCAGUGGGGAAUAUUGGACAAUGGGCGAAAGCCUGAUCCAGCCAUGCCGCGUGUGUGAAGAAGGUCUUCGGAUUGUAAAGCACUUUAAGUUGGGAGGAAGGGCAGUAAGUUAAUACCUUGCUGUUUUGACGUUACCAACGGAAUAAGCACCGGCUAACUUCGUG